rnacentral:rRNA from 1 species
GACGGACGCUGGCGGCGUGCUUAACACAUGCAAGUCGAACGAUGAACCCGGAGUUUGCUCCGGUGGAUUAGUGGCGAACGGGUGAGUAACACGUGAGUAACCUGCCCUUGACUCUGGGAUAACUGCGGGAAACUGUAGCUAAUACCGGAUACGACCCUCGGCGGCAUCGCCAGGGGGUGGAAAGAAUUUCGGUCAAGGAUGGACUCGCGGCCUAUCAGCUAGUUGGUGAGGUAACGGCUCACCAAGGCGACGACGGGUAGCCGGCCUGAGAGGGUGACCGGCCACACUGGGACUGAGACACGGCCCAGACUCCUACGGGAGGCAGCAGUGGGGAAUAUUGCACAAUGGGCGCAAGCCUGAUGCAGCAACGCCGCGUGAGGGAUGACGGCCUUCGGGUUGUAAACCUCUUUUAGUAGGGAAGAAGCGAAAGUGACGGUACCUGCAGAAAAAGCACCGGCUAACUACGUGCCAGCAGCCGCCGUAA